rnacentral:snRNA from 1 species
GGAUGUGAGGGCGAUCUGGCUGCGACAUCUGUCACCCCGCUCCGUCGAAGAGGACGACCUUCCCCUCCCGAGGAGAGGACCGGUCUUCAGUCAAGGGUAUACGAGUAGCUGCGCUCCCCUGCUAGAACCUCCAAACAAGCUCUCAAGAAUGUAGGACAGGAAAUAGGCAAAACAUUUGCUUCUAUAUUAAUUAUAUUUUGUUUCUUUAU